rnacentral:tRNA from 1 species
GCAUAUUUAGUAUAUGUAACAAUAUAUUAGAUUUAGAAUCUAAAGAAUUAAUUAUGUU